rnacentral:rRNA from 1 species
AUUGAACGCUGGCGGCAGGCUUAACACAUGCAAGUCGAGCGGAGCGGCGGACGGGUGAGUAAUGCUUAGGAAUCUGCCUAUUAGUGGGGGACAACAUCUCGAAAGGGAUGCUAAUACCGCAUACUAAUAGAUGAGCUUAAGUCGGAUUAGGUAGUUGGUGGGGUAAAGGCCUACCAAGGCGACGAUCUGUAGCGGAUCUGAGUGGGUGAUCCGCCACACUGGGACUGGGACACGGCCCAGACUCCUACGGGAGGAAGCAAUGGGGAAUAUUGGACAAUGGGGGGAAACCUGAACCAGCCAAGCCGCGUGAGUGAAGAAGGCCUUAUGGUUGUAAAGCACUUUUGGCGAGGAGGCGUUACUCACAGAAUAAGCACCGGCUAACUCUGUGCCAGCAGCCGCGGUAAUUC